rnacentral:rRNA from 1 species
GAUGAACGCUGGCUAUAGGCUUAACACAUGCAAGUCGAGGGGAAACGACGGGGAAGCUUGCUUCCCCGGGCGUCGACCGGCGCACGGGUGAGUAACGCGUAUCCAACCUGCCUCUGACUGAGGGAUAACCCGUCGAAAGUCGGCCUAAUACCUCAUGGUAUCGUCUGCGGGCAUCCAACGACGAUUAAAGAUUUCAUCGGUCAGGGAUGGGGAUGCGUCUGAUUAGCUUGUUGGCGGGGUAACGGCCCACCAAGGCUACGAUCAGUAGGGGUUCUGAGAGGAAGGUCCCCCACAUUGGAACUGAGACACGGUCCACACUCCUACGGGAGGCAGCAGUGAGGAAUAUUGGUCAAUGGGCGAGAGCCUGAACCAGCCAAGUAGCGUGCAGGAAGACGGCCCUAUGGGUUGUAAACUGCUUUUAUGCGGGGAUAAAGUGAGGGACGUGUCCCUCAUUGCAGGUACCGCAUGAAUAAGGACCGGCUAAUUCCGUG